rnacentral:rRNA from 1 species
GCUUAACACAUGCAAGUCGAGGGGCAGCAUUUUAGUUUGCUUGCAAACUGAAGAUGGCGACCGGCGCACGGGUGAGUAACACGUAUCCAACCUACCGAUAACUCCGGAAUAGCCUUUCGAAAGAAAGAUUAAUACCGGAUAGCAUACGAAUAUCGCAUGAUAUUUUUAUUAAAGAAUUUCGGUUAUCGAUGGGGAUGCGUUCCAUUAGUUUGUUGGCGGGGUAACGGCCCACCAAGACUACGAUGGAUAGGGGUUCUGAGAGGAAGGUCCCCCACAUUGGAACUGAGACACGGUCCAAACUCCUACGGGAGGCAGCAGUGAGGAAUAUUGGUCAAUGGGCGAGAGCCUGAACCAGCCAUGUAGCGUGAAGGAUGAAGGCUCUAUGGGUCGUAAACUUCUUUUAUAUGGGAAUAAAGUUUUCCACGUGUGGAAUUUUGUAUGUACCAUAUGAAUAAGGAUCGGCUAACUCCGUGCCAGCAGCCGCGGUAAUACGGAGGAUCCGAGCGUUAUCCGGAUUUAUUGGGUUUAAAGGGAGCGUAGGUGGAUUGUUAAGUCAGUUGUGAAAGUUUGCGGCUCAACCGUAAAAUUGCAGUUGAAACUGGCAGUCUUGAGUACAGUAGAGGUGGGCGGAAUUCGUGGUGUAGCGGUGAAAUGCUUAGAUAUCACGAAGAACUCCGAUUGCGAAGGCAGCUCACUAGACUGUCACUGACACUGAUGCUCGAAAGUGUGGGUAUCAAACAGGAUUAGAUACCCUGGUAGUCCACACAGUAAACGAUGAAUACUCGCUGUUUGCGAUAUACAGUAAGCGGCCAAGCGAAAGCAUUAAGUAUUCCACCUGGGGAGUACGCCGGCAACGGUGAAACUCAAAGGAAUUGACGGGGGCCCGCACAAGCGGAGGAACAUGUGGUUUAAUUCGAUGAUACGCGAGGAACCUUACCCGGGCUUAAAUUGCAACAGAAUAUAUUGGAAACAGUAUAGCCGUAAGGCUGUUGUGAAGGUGCUGCAUGGUUGUCGUCAGCUCGUGCCGUGAGGUGUCGGCUUAAGUGCCAUAACGAGCGCAACCCUUAUCUUUAGUUACUAACAGGUUAUGCUGAGGACUCUAGAGAGACUGCCGUCGUAAGAUGUGAGGAAGGUGGGGAUGACGUCAAAUCAGCACGGCCCUUACGUCCGGGGCUACACACGUGUUACAAUGGGGGGUACAGAAGGCGGCUACCUGGUGACAGGAUGCUAAUCCCAAAAACCUCUCUCAGUUCGGAUCGAAGUCUGCAACCCGACUUCGUGAAGCUGGAUUCGCUAGUAAUCGCGCAUCAGCCAUGGCGCGGUGAAUACGUUCCCGGGCCUUGUACACACCGCCCGUCAAGCCAUGAAAGCCGGGGGUACCUGAAGUACGUAACCGCAAGGAGCGUCCUAGGGUAAAACUGGUAAUUGGGGCUAA